CUGGUAAUUUGUGUACAGACAUGGUCCUCAAGUAGUCCCAAGUUGUUUAUGUCUGAUUUCCCUGUACGACCACCAAGACACUCCUGUUCUUCAUUCAAGUCCUGGACUUGUGGCCAGAAAGGGGACUUAAAAACAGUGGCCAGUGGGGGUAAAGGAUUCACACCCUCUGUUCCUCCCUCGCCUUGUUCCUUGCUGGAAACAGCAGGGCAGGAGAGGUAUAUUGGAACAUAUAGCUACAGGACUAUCAAGAUAAGGACGACACCAGCGAGACAGAUUAAGGAUAGUGUUGAGGUUUUUGUAUUUGCUCUGGCAGAAGUAAGCACAUCUGGAUGGCUGACAUGAGCUGAGCCUGGAUUUCGUGUGGGCUGUCUGUGGAAGACGGUGUGCUUCUCACUUUGGAUGGUACAGCCAUCGAUAAGACUCGCAAGUAGUAGUCAAAACCAUCAUCGAUAGCAAUGGGCACCCUGAUGACUUCAAUGAGGAUUGAGGGAAUCUGUCAUCACACACAAAAAGAGACAGACCAAACCUACUAAAUAUGGAGGUAGAGAUGUCAGUGUGGUCAGAGCAUACAUGUACAAAUAUUUAUCCUUAUUAAUAAAGCAAAUACAAAUGCAAAGUCAUGAAAAGUGAAGAAUAAUGUAAUAUUUUUCCAUAAUUUCUAAUGUUGCAGGACAUUAACAAUCAUGUCACCUGCUAAAAUAUACAACUUGUAUUAACCUACUUAUGUUUUUGACAGGUGUUUCAAUCCAAGGUGAUUUUAUGAUGCAUCCUUAAUUGACUCAGUCUGAUACCUUGCUCAAGGAUACAACUGCAGUGUCCCACCCAUAAUGUUCCUGUUAUACUGUAAAUCCACAGCUGUAACAAUACUGUGUAUUAAUGCCUAAAACCUGUUGUAAUCAUAAACAAUCAUUUAAUUUUCUAGGGGCUCAACUGCUUGGUUGUAAAUACACUCCAAUAACUUUGAUUGUUACUUGAAUUUCUGUGAAGUUCAUUCAUGUUCUUAAUGUAAAAAUAACUUUAUAACUUUGAACAAAGAAGCCAAUGAACUCAAAUAGGUAUGUACAAUAUAACUCCAUUUUUAAUAUACCUUAAUUCUUUGUUGGUGCAGCAGUUUCAUAAACUACGACAGCUGUACUACCCUUCAUGGUUUUUUUCUUCUGAACACUGUGGUUACUCUGUACACUGUUUUUAAAGAGAUGCAAAUUGCUAACCUGAAAACAGAACUAAAUAGACCUGUGUCUUAGGAUAAAAAUGGUUCCCAGUUGCUUCUAAUGACCACAUCCCACACAAAGAAGUAGCUUUGACAAAAACAUGCCCCAGACCACAAGGAAACAUCUGUCAAUGAGAGCACCUGCCUCACUGUUAGGCUUGUUACCUAGUAACCAAACACAUUCUUACACUGUGGAGGAAAAGCAAAAUGCAGUCAUACUCUGUAUACAUACUCUGACUAGUACCUAUUAAUACAAUUGUGAUUUCCAAAAACAUUAUAAAUAUACAUGAUAUUGUACUGUGUAAUUAAAACCUUUGAGGAAUUCAAGCAGGGAGCUUCUAGUGAGAAUCAAGUCAGUAAAUACUACAGUAUUAAAACAAUGCAUUAAAAACAGUAUUAAAACAGUAAGAUCAGCCUAUGAAAAGUUGUGGGAUAACUUAAAAGGAUCAGAUCAAAAAGAACUGAGCAGUCUAUUAAAUAUGAUUAAUUAUAAUUAUUAAAGUACAGAACACUGGGAACAUCCUGGUUUUCUUUUAAUAGAUAGAUGGACAAGGGGAAACAGUAGUAGAUUCAUUAGAGAUACAAGUUUUUGGAAGAGUUCUUGCUUUAACAUUACACGAAGUAUAAGAAAGCACUUUCCAAGUUAUUAAAAAGGUUCCAGUGGAGUUUAAAAAAAAAAAAUCUACCAGUGAAACAUGAACCAGAGCAUAGAAGUGCAAACUAAGGUGAAGUACAGUACUGUACAUCCAAGACUGUCAACUGGGUGCCUCUUCUUUCCUCUAAGGGUUGCAGAAGUACUGAACAAACCAACCAAAUACAAUUCCACAAGCUGAAAUGGUCUCAAGAAAUGGUUAGAUUAGAUCCUCAGAUCCCUUAGCUAAUAGGAACCAACCAAGCUUGUUGAACCAAAUCUCACAAAAUUCAGCUAGUGUUUUAACUAUACAUAAAAUACAAGACAAUUUGUAUAACAUGGAAAAAAUAUUUAUUUAAACUGUAGACAUUCUGUAAUCUACAAACCAACAUUGGAAGUGAAUUUACUGAGGGAUGAAAAGUGUACAAAACCUGAAUAUGUAUCAUAAAAAAAUAAAAAAACAACAUUUUCUUUUUUUUUUAUAAUUGAUCUGGAUGAACUCCCUGAUGCUGUAAAGUGAAACAAACAUUAGGAAAUAGAUAUGGGUAAAAGUAAAUUUAUACUACUAUAAGGUUUACAACACCUUGCCUAUUAUUUUUGGAUAUUUACACUCUAGAUUAUCUGUCAAUACCUUCCUUCUUGUGCUUCUAAUUAUUUUCACCAUUUUCACAAAAAACAAUGUGAAAAUGUCACAACUGGUGCUUACUAAAUCCUUUCAUUUAUUUAAGUGUUUUUGAGAAAGGGCUUUGUCGUCCUUUGUUUUAAAUAAAAUUGAAUCCUGUCACAGAUGUUAUGUUAUUGUGAAAUCCUUCCGUAGCUGGUUGAUAUUCUUAAAAAAAUAAAUAAUUACACAAUCGUGCGCUAAUGCAAGUUACUGCCCUCUGAUUUGAAUGGGAAAAGCUUCAAGCUGAUCAGUGUAAAACCAGUCAGUAAUUAACUAAAAAGAAUAAAUUAAACUACCAUAGAAUGUGGCAUACAAAGAAUACGACAUUUACAAACAAAGCACUUGAGGGGGAAGAAAUGAAAACAUACCUAAGGAACAAUAAAGUCUGGCACACAACUGUAGUUUACUGCAUACAUAGUAAUUCCAAGAUAAUCCACUGUUGGCGUUUCAGUCAUUUUUCUUACAAGUUACAAGAGAUAUUUACUUGCAAGGCUACCACUGUGUGAAACAAACCAGCUCAAUGAAACUACUACAUGAAUUGAAAUGAAAAAUAAAAAAAAUGCUGAUCUGAGAAAACAGAAAAUACUUGAAUAGAAAAGCAAAAGGCCAUUAACGAAAAGCUAGGAAAAGAGUAUUUGGAGUCUGCAGUCUGAUAUUUAAACGCAAUACAAGUUCCACCACAGACUGCAAAACAAUUUCACAGCUGUCGCAUUUUUAAAUGCCAGAAUUUCUUUUUUUUGGAUGCCACGUAAACUGUACCU